GACGAACGCUGGCGGCGUGCCUAAUACAUGCAAGUAGAACGCUAAAGAGAGGAGCUUACUCUUCUUGGAUGAGUUGCGAACGGGUGAGUAACGCGUAGGUAACCUGCCUUGUAGCGGGGGAUAACUAUUGGAAACGAUAGCUAAUACCGCAUAACAAUGGAUGACACAUGUCAUUUAUUUGAAAGGGGCAAUUGCUCCACUACAAGAUGGACCUGCGUUGUAUUAGCUAGUAGGUGAGGUAAUGGCUCACCUAGGCGACGAUACAUAGCCGACCUGAGAGGGUGAUCGGCCACACUGGGACUGAGACACGGCCCAGACUCCUACGGGAGGCAGCAGUAGGGAAUCUUCGGCAAUGGGGGCAACCCUGACCGAGCAACGCCGCGUGAGUGAAGAAGGUUUUCGGAUCGUAAAGCUCUGUUGUAAGUCAAGAACGGGUGUGAGAGUGGAAAGUUCACACUGUGACGGUAGCUUACCAGAAAGGGACGGCUAACUACGUG
rnacentral:rRNA from 1 species